ensembl:lncRNA
UGGUAUAGUUUUUAUACAUUAAUUUUUCAUAAUUUUUUAUUCCAGUUUGAUGAAAAUGAAAUUGAUUACACUGAAUAUAAAAAUGAUAUAAUUCAUUUUUUUAAUUAUUUAAUUAAUUUGUUAUAUGAACAUAAUAAAAUUACGGAAGCACAAUUUUUGUAUUUACUUAUAUAUAAUAACCCUUGUAUAUUUCAAAUGUCGUCACAUUUAUUUAAAAAAAGUCAUAAAAUUCAAAAUUAUUCUUUUGUGGAUCUGAAAGAUACACAUUCCAAAGAUUUUAAUAACAAUUAUUAUAAUACCACUUCCAAUAGUCCACAUGUACCAAUGAAUAACACACACAACAGUUAUACAAGUAUAAAUACAGCUCUGUUAACAGACGAUGUUUCGAACGAAAUUUGUUCUUUUAAGCAGUUUGAUAUAUUUUUUUUUCAAAUAUGUGAAAUAUAUGAAUAUUUAUGUAGGUACCAAGAAGAUAGUUUUUUUUAUGAAGAAUUAAUAUUUUAUAAAAUAAUAUAUACUUUUACAUUAUUAGAUAUGGGUAUAUUAGAGCAAGCAAAACAGUACAUUGAUUUUUUACAUUAUUAUAUAGAUGUAAUAAAAAGUAAAAAAAAAAAAAAUUAUAAUAAAAUAAUUUGUUUAUAUGAAUUACUUUUAGAAAAGUCAAAAUAUAUUUUCUUUUCACCUGUUUCAGCAAUUAAUGGAAUAUUAAAAAUACAGUAUAAAACUGUUAACAUCUGCCGGAACCCCAGUUACAACAAUUAUAGUAACAUAGAUACUAGUAAUGUCAUUAUAAGAAAACACAUUGCGACACCACUAAAUUUAACAAAAAAUGAAGACACUUUGUUAAUGGAAGAAACACAUGCAGUUAGAAUGAAAGAAACACAUGCAAUUAGAAUGAAAGAAACACAUGCAAUUAGAAUGAAAGAAACACAUGCAGCUAGAAUGAAAGAAACACAUGCAGCUAGAAUGAUAGAAACACAAUCAGAGGUCCAAAUAGCAAAUAGCUACUCUAACAUAACAAACAAUUAUUACAAUAAAAUUAAUGAAAUGACAUUCGCUAGCAUAAAUAAUGAACAAGUUGCUAAUAAUAUUAGUCAUAAUAAUAGUAUAUAUCAUAAUGAAAUAAAAAAUAAAGAUUAUAAAGAGGGUACAAAAGAAUAUAAAGAAAAAAGCUAUGACAUAUAUGUUAUGACUAAUCCGUUUGAUAAUACUAUUACUACUGCAACUGCUGCUACUAGCGACGAUUUUAAUAAUGACAAUAUUCAUAUAAUUAAUCACGUAAAUGUAAAUAAUAAUAAUAAUAAUGAUGAAGGGACUGAUAGUGUAGUACCGUUUUAUAAAGUUAAUAAUGUAGCAUUUACGGGUGAUAGUAUAGACACCUCGUUAGAUUUUAAAAAACAAGUAAAAGGUAAUAUUAACAAAUGUAAUAGCCCUAGCAAUAGUAAAUUUAUAUCGAACAUAAACAAUAGUAGCAGUAUCAAUUAUAAUGUAAGCUAUGACAAUAGUUACCAUAAAGAAAGUGGACAUAAUUAUUAUGACAAUACUAAUUAUGAAUCGGAAUAUGUUUCAAAUCAAGAAUAUAACACAAUUAAAAAUGACGAGAAUGGUAGUAGUAGUAAUAAUAAUAAUAAUAAUAAUAAUAUAAAUAUAAAUAAUAAUAUAAAUAAUAUUAAUACAAAUAAUGUUAAUACAAAUAAUGUUAAUACAAAUAAUGUUAAUACAAAUAAUGUUGAUAUAAAUAAUGUUAAUAUAAAUAAUGUUAAUAUAAAUAAUGUUAAUACAAAUAAUGUUGAUAUAAAUAAUGUUAAUAUAAAUAAUGUUAAUAUGCCAAAUUUUCAGUUAAACAACGAUUAUAUAAAUAAUAACAAUGACUAUUCACAAUAUGAGGAAAAAAAAAAUAUGACACUUAUAAAUGAAAAUGCUACCACCAUACCAUAUUAUCAUUAUGGAAAUAUAAAUCAUCCUUUAAAAAAUGAAGAAAGGAAAGAAAAUAUAAUAACUAACAAACCAAAUAAAAACGGAUAUGUUUUAAAUGAAAACAUACAAUAUAAUGAAUUGGACAAUAUUACUGGCUCUAGUUUGAGUUAUCAACAUGACAUUAUGUUAAUAAAUGCGAAUGGGUUUGUGGCGAAUAAUGAUAGUAAUCAUUAUAAUAAUAAUAAUAAUAAUAAUUAUAGUAAUAAUAAUAAUAAUAAUAAUAAUAACAGCAAUAAUAACAACAACAAUAGUAACAAUAUCAAUAGUAAUAAUAGUAAUAGUAAUAGUAAUAAGGUACAAACAAAUCACUUGGCGGAUAGUGCUAAUCUACAAUCGAGUAGUUAUUAUUCCCCAACAAAUAGCCAAAAUAAAUUAAAAGAAAAUAACAUUGAUUUAUUAAAUAGAGGAAAAAAUUUAAUAUCUGGAUUUUUUUCAAACAUAAAAGAAAAAAUAAGUAAAAUAGAAAUGCAACAGCAACAAGAGCAGAAACAAAAACAACAAGAAGAAGAGGAUGAGAAUAUUUUUUAUUAUGAUUAUGAAAAAAAAAGGUGGAGAGAAAAAGGUAUAACGUCUGACGAAGAAAGAGAACGUGAUGAAAAAAUAUUAAAAAAAGAAAUGGACUUGAAAAGUAUUGUACCUCCGCCAGUAACAGAAGGAUAUGGUAAUAUAAACAGAAAAAAUCAGCUAAAUAUUACUGAUGUGCGUAGUCGA